rnacentral:rRNA from 1 species
AUGAUCUAUUUUGUACGAUCUCAAAGACUGCUGCUUCUUUGGUCUGUUCACCAAGUCAUGCAUACCCACUUAAAAAUGAACAAGGCUAAGCUGCAAGUAUAUCAUCUUACAAUACCCAUGGUGCCAGAUGUGUUUUAUUCCACUGCUACCAAGAAGAUAAAUGCGACAGCUGAGCCUAUAGUUCCUGCUGAGGAACAUCCCAAGGUUGACAGUGACACUGCAGAUGGAGCUUCUCUAACCGCUAUUGAAGACACCACUGUUCAUUUUAACCAGCCAAUAUGGAAGAGAAGAAGACAGAGCCAUAAACAAAAAUGA